AAGUCCAGCAAUUGGCAGUCGGGCUCCAUGUUUGCCUUUGUCUUGUUUGUUUGUGUGCGUGUCAGCCGAGCUACGAAUGCUCUGAUUCUUCUCUCGUCCGAGAAGAUACGUAUGCAUAGGAUGCGACAUCCUAGCGAGCAUGUGUCGUUUCCCCAGUCCGAACUACUUCGACUCUGAUGUCUAUGCCUGAUAGACUAAGUAGGCCCAGGAUGCGACAUCCUGCCGAGUCAGUUUCAGUC
rnacentral:lncRNA from 1 species